CGGCCUAUGUCGUAUCAGCUAGUUGGUGGGGUAAGAGCUCACCAAGGCAAUGACGCGUAACUGGUCUGAGAGGAUGAUCAGUCACACUGGAACUGAGACACGGUCCAGACUCCUACGGGAGGCAGCAGUAGGGAAUAUUGCACAAUGGAGGAAACUCUGAUGCAGCAACGCCGCGUGGAGGAUGACGCAUUUCGGUGUGUAAACUCCUUUUAUAUAGAAAGUGACGGUACUAUAUGAAUAAGCGCCGGCUAACUCCGUGCCAGCAGCCGCGGUAAUACGGGGGGCGCAAGCGUUACUCGGAAUCACUGGGCGUAAAGGGAGCGUAGGCGGCCUAAUAAGUGUCUUGUGAAAGCCUGUGGCUUAACCAUAGAACUGCAAGACAAACUGUUAGGCUAGAGUUCGGAAGAGGUAAGUGGAUUGGUGGUGUAGGGGUAAAAUCCGUAGAG
rnacentral:rRNA from 1 species